CUUUCAACAACGGAUCUCUUGGUUCUGGCAUCGAUGAAGAACGCAGCGAAAUGCGAUAAGUAAUGUGAAUUGCAGAAUUCAGUGAAUCAUCGAAUCUUUGAACGCACAUUGCGCCCCUCGGA
rnacentral:rRNA from 2 species